rnacentral:lncRNA from 1 species
GAGCUGUUGGCGAUGGCUGUACUGAUGAUACUGCUGCCUUUAAGGCUGCAUGGAAAGCAGCUUGUGCUGUUGAAUCUGCUACUCUUUUAGUUCCUUCCAAUCUUUGCUUUAAAAUCACUUCAACUAUCUUCUCAGGUCCCUGCAAACCUGGACUUGUGUUUAAGGUUAGUAAUUCUAUAUAAGUUUUGAAUUUCUCAAGUAAUAUUUCAGUCCUAAUGCAGCCUAGACUACAUUAUAUCCAUCUCCACGCAUCCUUCAAUUAACAUUUGCUACAUGUCAACUUGGAAUUACAAAUAGAUAGGUGUAGCUCAAAAUGUACUUAAGUACUUUUUUGUUUGUAAUGAGCAAAAAUUGGUUCCAAACAAAAGUGUCUCUCUGUUUGAAAUGAGUGAAAGUUCAUUCUAGAACAAUUUUUAUAUGAAAGUUUGGACUUAUGAGUGAAAAUGAAACGAAACAGGUGGACGGGACUUUGAUGCCACCAGAUGGACCAGAGUCGUGGCCAAAAGCAGAUAGUCCAAGGCAAUGGCUUGUGUUUUACAGGCUGGAUCAAAUGACAUUGACCGGAAGUGGAACCAUUGAAGGGAAUGGGCAGAAAUGGUGGGAAUUGCCAUGCAAACCACAUAGGGUACCUACAUUUGCAUUUAUUUUCACUUCAUCAUUUCCUUUGUUAUUGAAUGUCUCUCCAAUUUUCAAUCCAAGGCUUAAAAUUUCCUUUUUCAGGGUCCAAAUGGGUCAACUCUCCCAGGACCAUGUGACAGCCCUGCAGUAAGAAAAAACGCAUCUUUGCUCUUUAAUAUUUCUCUCUCCAUUUACUAUCUAUAUAAAUCAGAAAUGCUGACUGAAUUUUGGUUUUCUGGUCUUUUUCAGUUGAUAAGAUUCUUCAUGAGCAGUAAUUUGGCAGUAAAUAGUUUGAGAAUCCAAAACAGUCCAAUGUUCCAUAUGAAAUUUGAUGGGUGUGAAGGAGUUCUGAUAGAAAAGCUUUCGAUUUCUUCCCCAAAGCUCAGUCCCAAUACUGAUGGAAUCCACAUAGAGAAUACCAAAGGGGUUGGAAUAUACAACUCCAUGAUAUCCAAUGGUAUGAAACAAUGGUUUAGUCUUGCCUACUGAUUUUCAAUUGUUAUGAAAUCGAGAACCAAAGAUACUACAGAUAUCGAUACAAAGAUUCACAUACUUUGCUAACAAGAUAAGAGAAAGAAAUAUCAUAUUACAAAUUUCUAAAAAGUCAAUAGAGUUAGAGUUAUAUGGUUAAUCCCUCUAAACCUUAGGAAAAAAAUAAAAAUAACAUAAAUACAAAUAAGAUUUCGAAUAAGAAAAAACUGAUCAACACAUACCAACACUAAUUAUCAUUUUUUUUUUUUUUUUUUUUUUUUUUUGCAAAUACAGGUGAUGACUGCAUUUCAAUUGGGCCUGGUUGUGCCAAUGUGGCCAUUGAAGGGGUUACUUGUGGGCCUAGUCACGGAAUUAGGUACCAACAAUGCCAAUUCAAUUUCUCUUGAAUGUGAAAUUUUCAAUCUACAGUUAUUUUUUUAUCACCACUCAAACAGAGAGUAAUCCGUUGUUCUAUGUUUGAUUUUGGGAAAGAGCAGCAUUGGGAGCUUAGGAGUUCACAAUUCUCAAGCAUGUGUUUCCAACAUAACAGUAAGAAAUGCAGUGAUUAGAGAUUCAGACAACGGAUUGAGGAUAAAAACAUGGCAAGGAGGGUCGGGAUCAGUGAGCGACAUCUUGUUCGAGAACAUACAGAUGGAGAAUGUUAGAAACUGCAUCAUAGUUGACCAAUACUACUGCUUAUCAAAGGAUUGUCUAAAUCAAACAUCAGCUGUGUUCGUAAAUCAGGUGUUGUACAAGAACAUCAAAGGAACUUACGACGUAAGGAACACUCCAAUUCACUUCGCUUGCAGCGACUCAGUGGCUUGCACAAAUAUUACAAUGUCUGAAGUAGAGCUGCUGCCACAUGAAGGAGAGUUGGUGGAAGAUCCUUUCUGUUGGAAUGCAUUUGGGAUUCAAGAGACAUU